rnacentral:rRNA from 1 species
UACGGAGGGUGCAAGCGUUGUUCGGAAUUACUGGGCGUAAAGCGCGUGUAGGCGGACUCAGAAGUCGGGUGUGAAAGCCCCGGGCUCAACUCGGGAAGUGCGCUCGAAACCAUGAGUCUUGAGAUCCGGAGGGGAUCGGGGAAUUCCUGGUGUAGAGGUGAAAUUCGUAGAUAUCAGGAAGAACACCGGUGGCGAAGGCGCCGAUCUGGACGGAUUCUGACGCUGAGACGCGAAAGCGUGGGGAGCAAACAGGAUUAGAUACCCUGGUAGUCCACGCUGUAAACGAUGUGCACUAGGUGUCGGGGGUAUUGACCCCCCCGGUGCCGACGCUAACGCAUUAAGUGCACCGCCUGGGAAGUACGGCCGCAAGGCUGAA